rnacentral:tRNA from 1 species
GGCUCGGUAGCUAAGUUGGUAAAGCGCUCGUCUAGCAUACAAGAGUCCUGGGUUCAAAUCCCGGCCGAGCAC